GCCUCUUUGGCUCAGUCGGUUAGAGCGCAAGUCUCAUAUACAUAACUAUUAUCAUAUGUGUAUCUUGAGGUCCAAAGUUCGAAUCUUUCAAGUGGCA